GUAGCAGGAUAUUUCUCAUCGGAGUGGCCGUCAGUACUACAGUAGAAAUACUUUUUUUUGCCUGAUGUCUACUCCUUGAGAAGAUCCUUCCUUGGCUCAUUCUUCUGUAGACCUCUGUUCUAAGAGACUCUCUCUUGGAACCAGAUUUUCUACAAUAAGAACAUAGCCUCUUGAACUUUUUAAGGUCUCCUUAGUGAUCACCAAUAUGUUCAUCAAUUUUGAUAAAAUGUUAUCAUACUCAUUUAUAUGGCAGUUUACUCUAAACUGACCAAAUGAACCAUU
rnacentral:lncRNA from 1 species